UUGUCAAUUCAUGAGCAACCUGCAAAAUAAUACAAAAAUAAUUCUACUAAAAAUAACAAAGUAGUACCACUAGUUACUGCAAAUAGGCAACUAUUUUGAAGUAAUAUGAAUUUGUAACAUGAAAUUCAAUUUCUGUAAAGACUGUCGUUAAUUUCUUCUUUUUUAUUUCAGAUUAUCUCUGGUGGGUCACUUCUGGUCCACUGGCCCUAUGUUUGACACCACUGCUCCAGGCUGGAGGAGAUUUAUGGAGUCGUAAUUUUAAAUGCACAAAAACUCAACCGGAAAAGGUUCAAUCAUUCCUUUUCAGGGCAUUAACCAAUCCCAGCAGGCUUUGGGCAACACUUGGUUCCAGCCUGGACAGUUGACCAGUCAAUCACAGGCAUUUCUCAAGCCAGAGCUGCAGAGCACAGCCUUUCCUGUUACCUGCCCUCGCAAUCAGCACGGACAAGGUAUGACCAGAGCCAUUAGCUCUUCCUCGUAUCUUCAUUUGUGUUCAUUUUGUCGCCCCCAUUGAUGGUUGUCCCUCUAGAAAAUUCUCUGGACCUUUUCCUGUAUCCCAGAAUUGGUACUUUAAUUUACUCACUCAAAAAGCCACAAAAAUAAUAAAUAAUGUCUCUCUCAAUGUCAGCUGUAUAAACAUUUGUUGGAGGGGGAGAGGGGGGUGUCCUCAUAGUACCUCAGAUAGUGAACCAAUACUGAGGCUGAACCUCACACUAGGACCUUACAGAUACUGUAAGAACACGAGCAGCAGCAGCCAUUAGCUUACAGCAGAUGUAAAGGCAAUAAAGGACCAAAUGGUUCCCACAGGGGGCGGGGGCAGUAGAGUAUUGUGUAAUAUGCUUUUAACACAACACACAGUCAAUUAAUUUUUAAUGCUUGGCAAAAAAGAGAGAGAGAGAAAGUGAAAGGAGGGCAGAUACAUAGAGUGAGAGAGAGAGUGAGAGAGAGAUCGAAACGAAUACAGUGAAUUAUUUGCUCUGUGUCAUCAUUGAGGUCUAGAAUGGGGCAUACAUCAUUAACACUGAUUUUUGGGUGAAUGGCUCUGGGAAAAGGAGAGAGUGAAAAGAUGGAGGCAGAGAGGAGAACUGUAAGUAAGAGAGUGAAGAGGAGGAAAGGGAGGAGGAGUAGGAGGUGGAGAGUUUGCAUGACUGAGUGAGCAGGAAUAACUAUGAGCCCUGUCAACACCAGGCUGAGGAACCCGGGGGGGAAACAGUGUCUCAGAGUCUCAGUGUUCACAACGCAAAGACGUGUAUGUGUGACUGCACAGCAGAAAUAGAGUGGAUCAUAAAUGAGACUAUGACUAUAUAACACUGACCUUAUUUCAGUGUUUACAUUCAAACACUGCAAAUGCAAACUUAUAUCACUGACUGUGAGGCACAGUAGGCUGGAGUUUAAGGUGCUGUGCUGUUUAUUUUACUCCUCUGGAAAGUUUCACAUACUCAGUGCAAAAUAAUUAAAUUUAGAUUUAUUACCUCAGCAGCCAGCUCUUUCCAUGAAAUUAUUUUCCAGGACAUUUUCAGCUAUUAUUAUAUAUUAUAUAUAAUAUAAUAAUAAUUGUUUUUUCUGAAU